UACGGAGGGUGCAAGCGUUAUCCGGAUUCACUGGGUUUAAAGGGUGCGUAGGCGGGUGUGUAAGUCAGUGGUGAAAUCCUGGAGCUUAACUUCAGAACUGCCGUUGAUACUAUACAUCUUGAAUACCGGGGAGGUGAGCGGAAUAUGUCAUGUAGCGGUGAAAUGCUUAGAUAUGACAUAGAACACCGAUUGCGAAGGCAGCUGGCUACACGAAUAUUGACACUGAUGCACGAAAGCGUGGGGAUCAAACAGG
rnacentral:rRNA from 1 species